rnacentral:rRNA from 1 species
AGCAGCCGCGGUAAUUCCAGCUCCAAUAGCGUAUAUUAAAGUUGUUGCAGUUAAAAAGCUCGUAGUUGAAUUUCGGGAUCAAUAUAUCGGUCGUGCCAUUGGUACGUACUGGUAUCAUUGGUUUCUCCUUUCUGACGAACCAUGAUGUCAUUAAUUUGGUGUUAUGGGAAGUUAGGACUGUUACUUUGAAAAAAUUGAGUGUUUAAAGCAGGCUUUAGCUUGAAUACAUUAGCAUGGAAUAAUGAAAUAGGACGUUCGAACCUAUUUGUUGGUUCUAGGAUCAACGUAAUGAUUAAUAGGGAUAGUUGGGGGCAUUAGUAUUCAAUUGUCAGAGGUGAAAUUCUUGGAUUUAUUGAAGACUAACUACUGCGAAAGCAUUUGCCAAGGAUGUUUCAUUAAUCAAGAACGAAGUUAGGGAUCGAAGACGAUCAGAUACGUCGUAGUCUUAACCAUAACUAUGCCGACUAGGAUCGGAUGAUGUUAA